CCUACGGGGGGCAGCAGUGAGGAAUAUUGGUCAAUGGCCGGAAGGCUGAACCAGCCAUGCCGCGUGACGGUCAGUGCCCUAUGGGCGUUAAACUUCUUUUGUGCGGGAGCAAUAAUGGUCACGUGUGGCCAGACGAGAGUACCGUACGAAUAAGCAUCGGCUAACUACGUGCCAGCAGCCGCGGUGAUACGGGGGAUGCACGCGUUAUCCGGAUUUAUUGGGUUUAAGGGUACGUAGGCUGGGAGGUAAGUCAGCGGUGAAAUGCCCCCGCUGAAGGGGGUGAAGUGCCAUUGAUACUGGCUUGCUGGAAUGCGGAUGUGGUGGGAGGAAUGUGUGGUGUAGCGGUGAAAUGCAUAGAUAUCACACAGAACACCGAUUGCGAAGGCAUCUCACGAAUCCGCGAUUGACGCUGAUGCACGAAAGCGUGGGUAUCAAACAGGAUUAGAUACCCUGGUAGUC
rnacentral:rRNA from 1 species